rnacentral:rRNA from 1 species
CGCUGAACUUAAGCAUAUUAAUAAGCGGAGGAAAAGAAACUAACAAGGAUUCCCCUAGUAACGGCGAGUGAGCGGGAUGAGCUCAAGCUUAAAAUCUCUGUGCCAGUUUGGCAUGGCGAAUUGUAGUCUAUGGAGGCGCUGUCAGUGCGAUUGUUCGGGGUAAGUUCCUUGGAAGAGGACAGCAUCGAGGGUGAUACUCCCGUAUGUACCUGUUCAGUUGCGCGUACGACACGUUUUCUUUGAGUCGCGUUGUUUGGGAAUGCAGCGCAAAGUAGGUGGUAAAUUCCAUCUAAAGCUAAAUAUUGGUGCGAGACCGAUAGCGAACAAGUACCGUGAGGGAAAGAUGAAAAGAACUUUGAAAAGAGAGUUAAAGAGUACCUGAAACUGCUGAAAGGGAACCGAAUCGUAUCCAGUGUCUAUAAUCCAUGGCAUAUUUCAUUGGCGAGUGAGUGCGUGCAGCGUUUUGGAAGUGGUUUUCCGCUCCUGUCGUUGUUGUGCAUUUGCUUGCUGGUGCCCUGUGCUGUGGUGGGACGUCAGAGUCAGUUUGUAUGUUGCGGGAAAUGGUUAUUGGGGAGGUAGGUCACUUCGGUGGCUGUUAUAUCCUGGUAACUAGUCGUCGUGGCUGAGACUGAGGUGCCUACAAUGUGCUUUCGAGUGUGCGGGAUUCUCGUGUGGCUGUUUGCUUUGAUAGCUUGCUAUGUUGGUGAAUAAGUCGUGCGAUUGAGACUUGUAUUAACUUGUUGCCGUUCGGGACUUUGACGAAAUGGAGCGAUCCGACCCGUCUUGAAACACGGACCAAGGAGUCUAACAUGUGUGCAAGUGUUAGGGUGUGGAAACCCCAGCGCGAAAUGAAAGUAAAGGACAGCCUAGCUGUCUGAGGUAGGAAACCUUUGUUUACAGGGGUGGCACUAUCGACCGAUCAUGAACCUUCGUGGUGAAAGAUUUGAGUUUGAGCACAUAUGUUGGUACCCGAAAGAUGGUGAACUAUGCCUGAGUAGGGUGAAGCCAGGGGAAACUCUGGUGGAGGCUCGUAGCGAUUCUGACGUGCAAAUCGAUCGUCAAACUUGGGUAUAGGGGCGAAAGACUAAUCGAACCAUCUAGUAGCUGGUUCCCUCCGAAAUUUCCCUCAGGAUAGCAGCAACUUAUUUACGAUAGUUUUAUGAGGUAAAGCGAAUGAUUAGAGGAUUUGGGGAAGAAACUUCCUUGACCUAUUCUCAAACUUUAAAUCUGUAAGACCUGCAGGUUUCUUAAUUGAACUUGUGGAUGUGAAUAUCAAGUUGCUAGUGGGCCAUACCGGGUAAGCUGGUCUGGCG